rnacentral:rRNA from 1 species
UGGCAUUAGAGUUUGAUCCUGGCUCAGAAUGAACGUUGGCGGCGUGGAUUAGGCAUGCAAGUCGUACGGGCCGCAAGGCCAGUGGCGCAAGGGUGAGUAAUGCGACGGUAACCAACCCCAUGGGUGGGUAUAGCCGCGGGAAACUGCGGGUAAUCCCCAGCGACGCAAAUAGUCGGCAUCGAUUGUUUGCCAAAGCUCAGGCGCCGUGGGACGGGCCGUCGUGGUAUUAGGUAGUUGGGGGGGUAACGGCCCACCAAGCCGACGAUGCCUACCGGGCGUGCGAGCGUGGCCCGGCACACUGGGACUGAGACACUGCCCAGACUCCUACGGGAGGCUGCAGUCGAGAAUCUUCGGCAAUGGGCGCAAGCCUGACCGAGCGACGCCGCGUGGAGGAUGAAGGCCUUCGGGUUGUAAACUCCUGUCGAGGGGAAAGAAGGCUCCGCAAGGAGCUUGACUGAUCCCUGGAGGAAGCACGGGCUAAGUUCGUGCCAGCAGCCGCGGUAAGACGAACCGUGCGAACGUUAUUCGGAAUCACUGGGCUUAAAGCGCGUGUAGGCGGGGAGACACGUCCGUCGCUGAAAUCCCCCGGCUCAACCGGGGAACGGGCGCGGAUACGAUCUUCCUGGAGGGGCGUAGGGGGAACUGGAACUUCCCGGGGGAGCGGUGAAAUGCGUUGAGAUCGGAAGGAACCCCCUUGGGAAAACGAGGCCCGGGACCCCUACUGACGCUGAGACCCAAAGCCAGGGGAGCGAACGGGAUUAAAACCCCGGGAUCCUGGACGUAAACAAGGGCACUGGGAAGGGGGGUUCCAAAUGGCCCUCGGCAAACAAAACUUUAAUUCCC